GAGUAAUCCUUUCCUAAUGACACUUAUACAGAUGCUAGCUUCACGCAUUGUCGUGAAUUUUACUAAAAAAGGACUCCUCGCAAUUGCAGCAAUAUCUGUGUUCCAGUAUUUUUCCGGGACAGUGAAUGAAAACAAAACUUCUUUUUUAGUCAAUGUCUAUAUAAAUAUGGUAUUGGUUUUAAUUUUUCUCCUCACUGUAUAUCAUUGCAUAUUCAUAUAAAAAAAACAUAAACAUAAAACCAUA